GCAGCUGGGGAACAGGAAAACAUGCUAGCAAGCAUCGAUUGUAAUAGCAUGUUAGCAUAGAUGUUAGCAUAGAAACCAACUCCUUAAAACGCUAAUGUUUGCACAAACAACAAAUACUAAGCUUGCUGGAAUGAGACAGAGAAAAGCCUUUCAUGGGAGCCACAGUAAAACAUCCACGUUAAUGCGUGUUUACAUAAUUAUGCUAAAAGCUGGGCCAGCGAGCAGCUAACACUAACUACUUAACUGCCAUAAUAACUGACGAACUAAAUACUAGCACCAACACGGUUCACUGCUGUAAAACUGUUAGCUGCUAGCCGACAUUUCCUGGUAAAUAAUAAAUUAAGCAGAGCAUUAAGGGCAGACGGUCAUCAGGAGCAGCCACACAGAACACAAUGAAGCUUCCUUCACCUCAUGCUGGGUGGCUUCUUCCUGCUCUCCGAGGGUUCGAACUCCGCGGCCAGACACAGCUGGAGGUCCGCAGGUGACCGAACCCGCCUCCUCGGUCUCCCCUCGCCGCCAUUCUCCACCUCGGGCCUGAGAACGUUACCGGACACAUGACUUUCUGUUUCCCCGUGCGCAUCAGGCGCUGUGGAGGGCUCCAACACACACACACACACACACGCACGCACGCACGCGCGCACGCACACACACACGCGCGCGCACGCGCGCGCACACACACACACACACACACACACACACGCACUCAUACACACACACAGAGCACGGUGAAGUGAAGCUCAACACGAGCCCAGCAGAACCGGAAAGUUGGAUAAACAAAGAGGUUUCCUCAGAUGCAAAUGAACCCCGUCGCGUCCUAUUCCGCGCCACGUACGCAACAUCUACAUCCAUUAAAACCACCAGCGCCCUUCAAGUCAAAUAAAUAGUCUGAAGCACAACAUACACGCACGCAACGACAAUACAGUCAGGCCCGGAUCGCCUCCUCUGGAGCUGGAGCGAACCAGGCCUCUCCAUCUUAACCGGACUCACGUCGAGCGGUUCCCUCGGGAGUCCCUGCUGGAAAGUUGUUCUGGAGCGGGUACCGGGGUCAGAGGUCGGUCCCCCCGCUCGCUCACCACCACCAUGCUGUAGAUCUCACAUCUCACGCGUCUCACCCUCCAUCGUUUCCCCGCGCGUCGGCCCCCGAAGCUCCAGGAAGACUUUGGACGGAAGAUCCAGCAGGAAUCGCUCGAUGGAGCGGGGACAGAGGAGGAGCCGGGGAAGGGGGAGGAGAAGGGAGCGAGCGUCGGCCACGAGGAGCCGACUCCCGCUGGGGCUGAGCGAGUCUGGAAAACCUGCCAGGAGCAUUAUCCGUUGGAAUAAAGGAAGAAAAUACAAAUAUUAAUAUCCAGAAAGUCAUUAUUCAUCAAGACAGAUGCGUAACCAACGUAAAAGUCUUCGUCUUUAAUACGGAAAAACAAACGUUUUAUUUUGUAGGAUCCGCUGAGUGUCGCGCGUGCACAGUGGACAGAUGUUCCUCGGUGUGUGUGUGAGGCAGAUCUCCAGCAGGCGGCGGCAGAGUCUCACUUAACGUCACCUGACUCACGUCGGCGGAAAGGAACGGCACCAAGUAGUAAAAGUACACAGUAAACAGAGGUCCUGCGCCUUAGUGAACUUAGAAAUAAUUAAAAAAAUACUUGUCAUACACAGUGCAUUAAAAAUAAACUUCAAAAGAAACAAAUUAUUUCACAAAUAAUGCAUUAUCUUUAAUACAUUCAAAUCAGUGUAUUAAA